rnacentral:rRNA from 1 species
CCUACGGGGGGCAGCAGUGAGGAAUAUUGGUCAAUGGACGAGAGUCUGAACCAGCCAAGUAGCGUGAAGGAUGACUGCCCUAUGGGUUGUAAACUUCUUUUAUAUGGGAAUAAAAUGUUCCACGUGUGGGAUUUUGUAUGUACCAUAUGAAUAAGGAUCGGCUAACUCCGUGCCAGCAGCCGCGGUAAUACGGAGGAUCCGAGCGUUAUCCGGAUUUAUUGGGUUUAAAUGGAGCGUAGGUGGAUUGUUAAGUCAGUUGUGAAAGUUUGCGGCUCAACCGUAAAAUUGCAGUUGAAACUGGCAGUCUUGAGUACAGUAGAGGUGGGCGGAAUUCGGGGUGUAGCGGUGAAAUGCUUAGAUAUAACGAAGAACUCCGAUUGCGAAGGCAGUUCACUGGACUGCAACUGACACUGAGGCUCGAAAGUGUGGGUAUCAAACAGGAUUAGAUACCCGUGUAGUC